UAUAUAAGUUAUCGUUUAUUUGAUAGUACCUUACUACUUGGAUAACCGUGGUAAUUCUAGAGCUAAUACAUGCUAAAAAUCCCGACUUCGGAAGGGAUGUAUUUAUUAGAUUAAAAACCAAUGCCCUCUGGGCUCUCUGGUGAUUCAUGAUAACUUCUCGAAUCGCAUGGCCUUGCGCCGGCGAUGGUUCAUUCAAAUUUCUUCCCUAUCAACUUUCGAUGUUUGGGUAGUGGCCAAACAUGGUUGCAACGGGUAACGGAGGGUUAGGGCUCGACCCCGGAGAAGGAGCCUGAGAAACGGCUACUACAUCCAAGGAAGGCAGCAGGCGCGCAAAUUACCCAAUCCCGACACGGGGAGGUAGUGACAAUAAAUACUGAUACAGGGCUCUUUUGGGUCUUGUAAUUGGAAUGAGUACAAUUUAAAUCCCUUAACGAGGAACAAUUGGAGGGCAAGUCUGGUGCCAGCAGCCGCGGUAAUUCCAGCUCCAAUAGCGUAUAUUAAAGUUGUUGUGGUUAAAAAGCUCGUAGUUGAACCUUGGGCCUGGCUGGCCGGUCCGCCUCACCGCGUGUACUGGUCCGGCCGGGCCUUUCCCUCUGUGGAACCCCAUGCCCUUCACUGGGUGUGGCGGGGAAACAGGACUUUUACUUUGAAAAAAUUAGAGUGCUCCAGGCAGGCCUAUGCUCGAAUACAUUAGCAUGGAAUAAUGAAAUAGGACGUGCGGUUCUAUUUUGUUGGUUUCUAGGACCGCCGUAAUGAUUAAUAGGGACAGUCGGGGGCAUCAGUAUUCAAUUGUCAGAGGUGAAAUUCUUGGAUUUAUUGAAGACUAACUACUGCGAAAGCAUUUGCCAAGGAUGUUUUCAUUAAUCAGGAACGAAAGUUAGGGGAUCGAAGACGAUCAGAUACCGUCGUAGUCUUAACCAUAAACUAUGCCGACUAGGGAUCGGACGAUGUUAUUUUUUGACUCGUUCGGCACCUUACGAGAAAUCAAAGUGCUUGGGCUCCAGGGGGAGUAUGGUCGCAAGGCUGAAACUUAA
rnacentral:rRNA from 1 species